UGGGGAAUAUUGGACAAUGGGGGGAACCCUGAUCCAGCCAUGCCGCGUGUGUGAAGAAGGCCUUAUGGUUGUAAAGCACUUUAAGCGAGGAGGAGGGUACUGGUAUUAAUACUACCAGGUACUGGACGUUACUCGCAGAAUAAGCACCGGCUAACUCUGUGCCAGCAGCCGCGGUAAUACAGAGGGUGCGAGCGUUAGUCGGAUUUACUGGGCGUAAAGCGUGCGUAGGCGGCUAAUUGAGUCGGAUGUGAAAUCCCCGAGCUUAACUUGGGAAUUGCAUUCGAUACUGGUUAGCUAGAGUGUGGGAGAGGAUGGUAGAAUUCCAGGUGUAGCGGUGAAAUGCGUAGAGAUCUGGAGGAAUACCGAUGGCGAAGGCAGCCAUCUGGCCUAACACUGACGCUGAGGUACGAAAGCAUGGGGAGCAAACAGG
rnacentral:rRNA from 1 species